AGACUAGCAGGGAUCACAGUAAUAAAGUAGGUACUCACUGAAGUCGUAUGAGGAACGUGGGUCAAAUCUGAUGCUGAACCAGAGAGAACAAGUGUGUGGGCUUUUCUGACACAGGG
rfam:Loxodonta africana cont3.53899, whole genome shotgun sequence.